ensembl:lncRNA novel transcript
CAAUGAGAACUUUAAUAUGACUGACCUUCAAAUCCCAAGACAGGCUUGAAGCACAUCCAGACUCCCUCUGAAAAAGACUGCUUUGAAGUUCAAACGUUUUCUGCUGUUGCUUUACUUCACUUAUUUAUUUUGGUUACAGCAACUCUAAAAAGCUUAACCAAAAAGAAACUGAUGGAUUAACUCCAAAUUCACUCUUGGCCCUUCUAAAUGCAGGGCGAUGAGGAAACCCUCAGCCCCCCUCAGAGGAGAAGUUCCCACUUGCUGGCCGUCACUGCCCUUCCUGCCUGGAAGGAGUCCCUCCAUGUUGCAGGUUACUUUACAACACACACCCACACCUUUUUUCCCUUGAAGCUCAUCAAGUGAAGUUAUCAGCUCUUUAGAGAAAUCCCUUCAAUUCCUCACAGUAUUUAAAACAAAUUAUUUUUACCUGCAA